ACUUAUUCGUCGGAGAGAGAGGAAAGCAAGCUGGGCGGAGCUGCAGCGGCUCCGCUCCUCCCGCCGCAAAGAGAGGCCGUCCUAUUGGCAUUGGAAGCAACAGCGUCGCUUAAUCGUCUGCUGCGACAGCUGUAUCUGCAGCUUCCGGCGACACCAUUUGCACUCCACUCCGCCUUCGCGGAUGAUGACUGUCGUGACAUAGCUCUACCAAGGGUGAGACUGCUGGGUGUUAAUUCUGCUGUUAUGGAUUCGGGAGCGAAUAUGAGACAGUUAAUUCCGGUGGUUCUGUUCCACAUCCUACUAAUGCUGGCUCUGCUUCUUCAAAUAAAGAUCCAUCUGCACUAAAGAGUACCCUCAAAGUCUCUUCCUUCAGGUUGGUGGUUUGAGGAAGAUGGUCUCUUUAACCUCGAUGAUGAAGGCCGGGCAGAAAAGUAGCGGUGUUCUGUAGCUGCUUCAAAUAUAAUUAGGAACUUUUCUUUUAUUGCUGAGAAUGAACUUGCAAUGUGUCAGAAUCAUCACUUUCUUGAAACAGUGUUCCAGUGUUUGGAAGAUUAUGCUACAGAUCAUUGUGUAUACGGCAUAUACAGAGUUAAUUCUGGAGAACCUAUUGCUGGAGCCUCAGAACAAGCCUAAGCUGCUAGGGUUCGAGAAUGCGUUUGCAGAGAUGCUCUUGUCUGAUACAAGGCACACUGACACAUUUACUCGGAUAUUACAUGAAUUGACAUCUCAUCACAGCAACAAAAUCGCAGCUCGUGGUAUUUGGGUCAUGUAAUACGAGGACCUCCUUUUCCUAGUUCUCAAUAGGCGCAAUUAGUUAGUUUCUUCAUCUCGAUAGCUCUAGUGUAAUUUUAGUACAUUAAGCUGUUCUUUUUCUUCAUAUAUAUAUAUAUAUGGUCACUUCUAAUAAA